rnacentral:rRNA from 1 species
AGGAUGAACGCUGGCGGCGUGCCUAAUACAUGCAAUCGAGCGAACAGACGAGGAGCUUGCUCCUCUGACGUUAGCGGCGGACGGGUGAGUAACACGUGGAUAACCUACCUAUAAGACUGGGAUAACUUCGGGAAACCGGAGCUAAUACCGGAUAAUAUAUUGAACCGCAUGGUUCAAUAGUGAAAGACGGUUUUGCUGUCACUUAUAGAUGGAUCCGCGCCGCAUUAGCUAGUUGGUAAGGUAACGGCUUACCAAGGCAACGAUGCGUAGCCGACCUGAGAGGGUGAUCGGCCACACUGGAACUGAGACACGGUCCAGACUCCUACGGGAGGCAGCAGUAGGGAAUCUUCCGCAAUGGGCGAAAGCCUGACGGAGCACGCCGCGUGAGUGAUGAAGGUCUUCGGAUCGUAAAACUCUGUUAUUAGGGAAGAACAAAUGUGUAAGUAACUAUGCACGUCUUGACGGUACCUAAUCAGAAAGCCACGGCUAACUACGUGCCAGCAGCCGCGGUAAUACGUAGGUGGCAAGCGUUAUCCGGAAUUAUUGGGCGUAAAGCGCGCGUAGGCGGUUUUUUAAGUCUGAUGUGAAAGCCCACGGCUCAACCGUGGAGGGUCAUUGGAAACUGGAAAACUUGAGUGCAGAAGAGGAAAGUGGAAUUCCAUGUGUAGCGGUGAAAUGCGCAGAGAUAUGGAGGAACACCAGUGGCGAAGGCGACUUUCUGGUCUGUAACUGACGCUGAUGUGCGAAAGCGUGGGGAUCAAACAGGAUUAGAUACCCUGGUAGUCCACGCCGUAAACGAUGAGUGCUAAGUGUUAGGGGGUUUCCGCCCCUUAGUGCUGCAGCUAACGCAUUAAGCACUCCGCCUGGGGAGUACGACCGCAAGGUUGAAACUCAAAGGAAUUGACGGGGACCCGCACAAGCGGUGGAGCAUGUGGUUUAAUUCGAAGCAACGCGAAGAACCUUACCAAAUCUUGACAUCCUCUGACCCCUCUAGAGAUAGAGUUUUCCCCUUCGGGGGACAGAGUGACAGGUGGUGCAUGGUUGUCGUCAGCUCGUGUCGUGAGAUGUUGGGUUAAGUCCCGCAACGAGCGCAACCCUUAAGCUUAGUUGCCAUCAUUAAGUUGGGCACUCUAAGUUGACUGCCGGUGACA